rnacentral:rRNA from 1 species
GAUGAACGCUGGCGGCGUGCCUAAUACAUGCAAGUCGAGCGAACAGACGAGGAGCUUGCUCCUCUGACGUUAGCGGCGGACGGGUGAGUAACACGUGGAUAACCUACCUAUAAGACUGGGAUAACUUCGGGAAACCGGAGCUAAUACCGGAUAAUACAUUGAACCGCAUGGUUCAAUAGUGAAAGACGGUUUUGCUGUCACUUAUAGAUGGAUCCGCGCCGCAUUCGCUAGUUGGUAAGGUAACGGCUUACCAAGGCAACGAUGCGUAGCCGACCUGAGAGGGUGAUCGGCCACACUGGAACUGAGACACGGUCCAGACUCCUACGGGAGGCAGCAGUAGGGAAUCUUCCGCAAUGGGCGAAAGCCUGACGGAGCAACGCCGCGUGAGUGAUGAAGGUCUUCGGAUCGUAAAACUCUGUUAUUAGGGAAGAACAAAUGUGUAAGUAACUAUGCACGUCUUGACGGUACCUAAUCAGAAAGCCACGGCUAACUACGUG